GGCAGGGAGCCCAGGCUGGGAGGGAGCUAAGAAGGUCCCAAAGGAGCUGGCUCUACCUCCUUCUGGGGCCUCUGGGGUGCAGAGCCAGGAGGACAGGCCCGGCGGGCGGGCCCCCCAGCUCCUGAGGAAGCUCUGGCUGGGCUGGUUCCCGGUCUCUGACAGCCCUGACCCUCAGGAGCACGAGUGACAGCCCAAUAAACGCACAGAGGAUGCCCUGCGGCCCCGCUGCCUCCUCGCAGGCCUCACGCCCUGCAGACCCAGUGUGGCCCGUGUACACUGUCCAGCAAGCACCACGCCUGACUCGGUAGUGGGUACUCUGGGGAGGCCGAAGGGGCCCUGCUGACCUGGGCUCCAUGUCAAGGGACAGGCCAAGCUCCCUGCAUGCGGGGAGCGGGGUAGCUUGUGAUGAGGGCAUCUACAGGACACUGGUGGGACCCGUGAGGGGUGCCGUGAGGGUGUUGCAUUGGGGGCUUCUGCCCUGAGCAUCUGGGGUCCCUAAGCUGUUCACUAAAUGCACAAGGGUCCUCCCACGACCUGAGUAAGCCAUCAUUAGAAGCCCUUGGGCGCUGCCCGUGGGCUCCAUCCAGGCCCCAUCUGGGAGUGGACACAGGUGAUGGGUGGCAGGCAAUAAUGUCACAGCCCAGCAUCAGCGCAGGAAGUCGGGACCCAGCGGCCAUCUGGUGCACUCUCCUCGGUGGCUGCAGGGAAAUAGAAGCCCAGGCCCACACAGUGGUGUGAUAACAAGGACUAGAGUCAGGCUGUCAUCCUCCAAGGUCCCUCUGGGGCCUCCUUUCUUGUGGCUACUGCAUUGUGGCAGGGGUCGAGGUUUGACCCCUGUCCGGGCGACAUCUCUGCAGCCCAGAGGGGCCCAUUCCUUGCCCCCAGCUCAGCCUCCUGCGCACCCUGCCUGGCCUGGCCACUCUGAGGACUGUGCCCGGGGUUGGAGCCCACAUGAGUCUCCCCAGCUGCAGCCGGCCCAGGAGACAGCUCUUUCCAGCAGCAGCUGGGCCAGGAGCAGACCUGAGGGGCCAGGGAAUGCGGCUAAUUCAAUGUUGGGGUGACCCAGAGGCCCAGGGAGGGGCUGGCUCCUGGGCUGCCAUCAGGGUUCCCAGGGAGAGCUCUGCACCCCAUUACUGAGCCUGGUCGUUAACCUGGCACAUCACUUCCCAGCCUUCCUGAGUUCCCCACCUUUUGGGGUGUCAGUGGGGGAACAGACUUGCUGGUGUUGGCGGAGCUGCUGCCUGUGGUGCAGGGCGGGUGCUGCUGGGCCUGAGAGUCAGCAUCAGGCUGAGCGAGGUCCCCCUUUCCCACGGGGCCAGCAGGGGCUGGGGCCUGUGCAGAGACUGGGACCCACAAGCAGCCAGUAUGGGGCUCCACAGGCGACUGGGGUCAGCUCUCAUUUUCUGAGCCUCAGUAUAGCGCCUCUCAAAUGGGCCCCAAUGCGA